rnacentral:rRNA from 1 species
AAUGAACGCUGGCGGUAGGCCUAACACAUGCAAGUCGAACGGCAGCACAGUAAGAGCUUGCUCUUACGGGUGGCGAGUGGCGGACGGGUGAGGAAUACAUCGGAAUCUACUUUUUCGUGGGGGAUAACGUAGGGAAACUUACGCUAAUACCGCAUACGACCUACGGGUGAAAGCAGGGGAUCUUCGGACCUUGCGCGGUUGAAUGAGCCGAUGUCGGAUUAGCUAGUUGGCGGGGUAAAGGCCCACCAAGGCGACGAUCCGUAGCUGGUCUGAGAGGAUGAUCAGCCACACUGGAACUGAGACACGGUCCAGACUCCUACGGGAGGCAGCAGUGGGGAAUAUUGGACAAUGGGCGCAAGCCUGAUCCAGCCAUACCGCGUGGGUGAAGAAGGCCUUCGGGUUGUAAAGCCCUUUUGUUGGGAAAGAAAAGCAGCAGGUUAAUACCCCGCUGUUCUGACGGUACCCAAAGAAUAAGCACCGGCUAACUUCGUG